rnacentral:rRNA from 1 species
CAGAGGUCCCAAGCGUUGUUCGGAUUCACUGGGCGUAAAGGGUGCGUAGGCGGUCGGGUAAGUCUGACGUGAAAUCUUCAAGCUCAACUUGGAAACUGCGUCGGAUACUAUUCGGCUAGAGGAAUGGAGGGGAGACUGGAAUACUUGGUGUAGCAGUGAAAUGCGUAGAUAUCAAAGUGGAACACCAGUGGCGAAGGCGAGUCUCUGGACAUUUCCUGACGCUGAGGCACGAAAGCCAGGGGAGCAAACGGGAUUAGAUACCCCGGUAGUCCUGGCCCUAAACGGUGCACGUUUGCUGUAAGAGGAAUCGACCCCUCUUGUGGCGAAGCUAACGCGUUAAACGUGCCGCCUGGGAAGUACGGCCGCAAGGGUUA